AACGAACGCUGGCGGCAUGCCUAACACAUGCAAGUCGAACGAGACCUUCGGGUCUAGUGGCGCACGGGUGCGUAACGCGUGGGAACCUGCCCUUAGGUUCGGAAUAACUCCCCGAAAGGGGUGCUAAUACCGGAUAAUGUCUUCGGACCAAAGAUUUAUCGCCUUUGGAUGGGCCCGCGUUGGAUUAGCUAGUUGGUAGGGUAAAAGCCUACCAAGGCGACGAUCCAUAGCUGGUCUGAGAGGAUGAUCAGCCACACUGGGACUGAGACACGGCCCAGACCCCUACGGGGGGCAGCAGUGGGGAAAUUUGGAAAAGGGGCGAAAGCCUGACCCAGAAAUGCCGGGUGGGGGAUGAAGGCUUUAGGGUUGAAAAGCUCUUUUACCCGGGAUGAUAAGGAAAGUCCCGGGAGAAAAAGCCCCGGCUAACCCCGU
rnacentral:rRNA from 1 species